rnacentral:rRNA from 1 species
ACGGGGGGGGUAAGCGUUGUUCGGAAUUACUGGGCGUAAAGGGCUCGUAGGCGGCCAACUAAGUCAGACGUGAAAUCCCUCAGCUUAACUGGGGAGCUGCGUCUGAUACUGGAUGGCUUGGAUUUGGGAGAGGGUUGCGGAAUUCCAGGUGUAGCGGUGAAAUGCGUAGAUAUUCGCAAGAACACCAGUGGCGAAGGCGGCUCACUGGUCCAUAACUGACGCUGAGGCACGAAAGCGUGGGGAGCAAACAGGA